CCUGUGAAUCAUCAGCAGAAUUGUUCACCAAAUUCUAGUCACUUACAGUUGCAGAAACGCACUGAAAUGAAUGGGCUUGCACCUGUGUAACUAAGGGUAGAUACAGGAAGUGCAGUGCAGUCAGUUGGGAGCAUAAGAGAACACAAGUGGGAGAUGCCAUCGAAUCUUGUCCCCACAUUGACAAGCAGGAAGUACAUGAAGGCACAAAAGAGAAACGACAUCAGAGCUGAAGACACUAAGUUUCUGACCUGGACCACGCGGCAAUGAGAAGGAACUGAAGAGGCAGUCAGUCUGCCCUGCGGUUGGGAGCAUGAGAUGAACUGAGGCACAUGCGUGGACCAACAGACACUGCUUUCAAAUUCUCUGACUCUGGGUGCAUGGUGCACAUGUGUAACCCACAGUGGAAUACAACAGGGACCAUUACUUGAAGAAGAAACAGACUUUCUUGGUCCUCUAGUCACUAGCUGUUUAAU